CCCUUCCUAAAAGCACUUACUUUGCCUGUUCUCCGUGGCUUAGCAAGAUGUCGUGGGAGGGCAGAGUAAUACAUUGCUUUUGGGUGAGGUGGCAGCUGCCAUGUGCUGUCCAAUCUCAAUCCGUGGUGUAACACUA